CUUCUAGUCGGACGCCAUCUUGGACUAGAGUGGUGUUAUAGUAGCUAGACGAAAUAUAUAUUUUAUUACUUUCUGGGACUGAAAAUGCCGGUUAAUGUCCAUCCAGCAAUAAGGUUCUCGAGAUAUGCGGCUCUGUUCAUAGGAAUUGCAUAUGGAUAUAGAAGAAAUGAGUAUCUCAAGCCUAUAGCAGCCCAYGAUAGAGAAGUAGAAGCUUUGCGUGCUAAGGAACAGGCUGAACUUAAAGCAAUGAAGGAUGCAAUUGCUGCUAAAGAGCCCCUGUUCUAGAGUGAUUUCUACCAGURUAUUUAUGGAAUUGUGAAUUAUUUGAACAGUGGAAACAGUUCUAUACUUUGUAAUUAUUGAUAUUUGAACAUGGAAUAAACAGCUUUUACAUUA